rnacentral:rRNA from 1 species
GAUGAACGCUGGCGGCGUGCUUAACACAUGCAAGUCGAACGAUGAAGCCAGCUUGCUGGUGGAUUAGUGGCGAACGGGUGAGUAACACGUGAGUAACCUGCCCUUGACUCUGGGAUAAGCCUGGGAAACUGGGCCUAAUACCGGAUAUGACUGAUCAUCGCAUGGUGGUUGGUGGAAAGCUUUUGCGGUUUUGGAUGGACUCGCGGCUUAUCAGCUUGUUGGUGGGGUAAUGGCCUACCAAGGCGACGACGGGUAGCCGGCCUGAGAGGGUGACCGGCCACACUGGGACUGAGACACGGCCCAGACUCCUACGGGAGGCAGCAGUGGGGAAUAUUGCACAAUGGGCGAAAGCCUGAUGCAGCGACGCCGCGUGAGGGAUGACGGCCUUCGGGUUGUAAACCUCUUUCAGUAGGGAAGAAGCCGCAAGGUGACGGUACCUGCAGAAGAAGCGCCGGCUAACUACGUGCCAGCAGCCGCGGUAAUACGUAGGGCGCAAGCGUUAUCCGGAAUUAUUGGGCGUAAAGAGCUCGUAGGCGGUUUGUCGCGUCUGCCGUGAAAGUCCGGGGCUCAACUCCGGAUCUGCGGUGGGUACGGGCAGACUAGAGUGAUGUAGGGGAGACUGGAAUUCCUGGUGUAGCGGUGAAAUGCGCAGAUAUCAGGAGGAACACCGAUGGCGAAGGCAGGUCUCUGGGCAUUAACUGACGCUGAGGAGCGAAAGCAUGGGGAGCGAACAGGAUUAGAUACCCUGGUAGUCCAUGCCGUAAACGUUGGGCACUAGGUGUGGGGGACAUUCCACGUUUUCCGCGCCGUAGCUAACGCAUUAAGUGCCCCGCCUGGGGAGUACGGCCGCAAGGCUAAAACUCAAAGGAAUUGACGGGGGCCCGCACAAGCGGCGGAGCAUGCGGAUUAAUUCGAUGCAACGCGAAGAACCUUACCAAGGCUUGACAUGAACCGGAAACGCCUGGAAACAGGUGCCCCACUUGUGGUCGGUUUACGGGUGGUGCAUGGUUGUCGUCAGCUCGUGUCGUGAGAUGUUGGGUUAAGUCCCGCAACGAGCGCAACCCUCGUUCUAUGUUGCCAGCACGUGAUGGUGGGGACUCAUAGGAGACUGCCGGGGUCAACUCGGAGGAAGGUGGGGACGACGUCAAAUCAUCAUGCCCCUUAUGUCUUGGGCUUCACGCAUGCUGCAAUGGCCGGUACAAAGGGUUGCGAUACUGUGAGGUGGAGCUAAUCCCAAAAAGCCGGUCUCAGUUCGGAUUGGGGUCUGCAACUCGACCCCAUGAAGUCGGAGUCGCUAGUAAUCGCAGAUCAGCAACGCUGCGGUGAAUACGUUCCCGGGCCU